rnacentral:misc_RNA from 1 species
AUCACCAUAACCUUAAUUGCAAAUUCGACAUAUAAAAUGGAAAUUACUACAGAAGAAAAAUAAAAGGAAAGAAAAUCCAGCUUUGUUGUUGACAAUCAGAGUAUCAAACGAUAAAGAGAAAAACGAAACCCGCUGCCGAAUCGCUCUUCCCCAAGAUUUGCUCAAACGCUAGUAGCACUCUCAAGUUACUCAGUCAUUUCAUCAAACACCAAGGACUAAACAAACAAAUCACCAAGAAUUUUCGCCCAAACAUAAAAGCAAAAAUAGAAAGGGCGUCAAAGAGAGUAAAUGACCUGAGAGUCCAAACCCAGACUCAAG